rnacentral:hammerhead_ribozyme from 1 species
AUCAAGCUGACGAGUCUCAAAUAGGACGAAAAGCGCGUCCUGGAU